rnacentral:rRNA from 1 species
GUGGGGAAUAUUGGACAAUGGGCGAAAGCCUGAUCCAGUCAUGCCGCGUGUGUGAAGAAGGUCUUCGGAUUGUAAAGCACUUUAAGUUGGGAGGAAGGGCAGUAAGUUAAUACCUUGCUGUUUUGACGUUACCGACAGAAUAAGCACCGGCUAACUUCGUGCCAGCAGCCGCGGUAAUACGAAGGGUGCAAGCGUUAAUCGGAAUUACUGGGCGUAAAGCGCGCGUAGGUGGUUUUGUAAGUUGGAGGUGAAAUCCCCGGGCUCAACCUGGGAACUGCCUCCAAAACUGCAUGACUAGAGUACGGUAGAGGGUAGUGGAAUUUCCUGUGUAGCGGUGAAAUGCGUAGAUAUAGGAAGGAACACCAGUGGCGAAGGCGACUACCUGGACUGAUACUGACACUGAGGUGCGAAAGCGUGGGGAGCAAACAGGAUUAGAAACCCCGGUAGUCC